rnacentral:lncRNA from 1 species
CCCAUACUCAGCCCACUUGGCCAGAGACACUUCAGUUAGAAAUGUGUUCUCCUGCUGUGUCCCCUCUUAACGGGGCUCUUGUUUCCGGAAAGCCUGGAGUGAGAGCCUUUUCGGAAGCUGCAGACAUUUGUUCAACCCUUGCUCGACCCAGACACCUCUGGCCAUUUGCCAGAGGUCCCCGAAGGGUGAAACUGUGUCCACAGUGAACAGGAAAGAGACCCGCAUCAGGGAGACAGGCCGAAAAAGCAGGUGGAGCGCCUGGUUACCGCCUUGCUGGGCACUGACCCCUCCUAUGUGCCCACCUUCCUGGGCACCUGCAGAGCUUUGCCACCACCCAACAUUGCUGGACCUGCUGUUCAAAGCGAAAACCGAGGAGCCCUGGAGCACUCAUACAAUUUCCCGUGAGUCCACCAGUGAGCAGUGUGUGAUUGCUUACGACACCGACGCUGAUCCACUGCAAAAAUUUACUUUACAGGCUAGCCUUCUUCAGAACAUGUCUUUUAACUUAAGAAAAAUUCUUUAAGGAGUGUUUAUUUGCUUUUAUUCUUCCACUUCUUUGGAAUAUAAUGAAAAUUCUCUACAAGUGACAAGUAUAAGGUAAUCCACUAACUGGAAGAUGUCCCUCUUUAUGUAUUCAGAUAUGUAAUAUUAUGAGUUCCUGACUGAAUUUGGAUCUUUGCCUAAUACCAUAUAAAAAAUUAACCCAAAAUGGAUUAAAGACCUCAACUUAAGAGCUAAAACUACAAAAAUGUUGAGGAAAACUUAGGGGCAAGUCUUCACGACCUUGGAUUUGGCAUUGGUUUCUUAAAAAUGACACCAAAAAGAAUAAAAGAAAGACAGAUGCAUUGGACAUCCUCAAGAUAAAAACAUUUUGUUGUUUGCUAUCACAG